AACGAACGCUGGCGGCAGGCCUAACACAUGCAAGUCGAGCGGACCUUUCGGGUUCAGCGGCGGACGGGUGAGUAACGCGUGGGAAUAUGCCCUUCUCUACGGAAUAGUCCUGGGAAACUGGGGGUAAUACCGUAUACGCCCUGCGGGGGCAAGAUUUAUCGGGGAAGGAUUAGCCCGCGUUGGAUUAGGUAGUUGGUGGGGUAAUGGCCUACCAAGCCGACGAUCCAUAGCUGGUUUGAGAGGAUGAUCAGCCACACUGGGACUGAGACACGGCCCAGACUCCUACGGGAGGCAGCAGUGGGGAAUCUUAGACAAUGGGGGCAACCCUGAUCUAGCCAUGCCGCGUGAGUGAUGAAGGCCUUAGGGUUGUAAAGCUCUUUCAGCUGGGAAGAUAAUGACGGUACCAGCAGAAGAAGCCCCGGCUAACUCCGUG
rnacentral:rRNA from 1 species